rnacentral:lncRNA from 1 species
AGAAUGAAACUCCUUCCAAUCAAACGGAUAGAAUAGAAGUCACAUAUUUCUAUUUCUAUUUCUAUUUCAGAUCCUAAUUUUUUUUAAUCAAACAUCUCUAAAAAAUCUUGCAACUCCACUAUAAUAUGCAGAAAUUUCUAACAAUUAGAAAGUCACAAAUUUAAUUGGGUGCAUCUUAUUGCCCACCCCCUAUCCUAUACCCACCACC